rnacentral:rRNA from 1 species
CAGGCUGCAACUCGCCUGCAUGAAGUUGGAAUUGCUAGUAAUCGCGAAUCAGAAUGUCGCGGUGAAUACGUUCCCGGGCCUUGUACACACCGCCCGUCACACCAUGAGAGUCGAUAACACCCGAAGCCUGUGAGCUAACCGCAAGGAGGCAGCAGUCGAAGGUGGGGUUGAUGAUUGGGGUAAAGUCGUAACAAGGUAAC